GAUGAACGCUGGCGGCGUGCCUAACACAUGCAAGUCGAACGAAGCACUUAUAAAGAUUCCUUCGGGAUGAAGUAUUUGUGACUUAGUGGCGGACGGGUGAGUAACGCGUGGGUAACCUGCCUUAUACAGGGGGAUAACAGUUAGAAAUGACUGCUAAUACCGCAUAAGCGCGCAGUCUCGCAUGGGACAGUGUAGAAAAACUAAGGUGGUAUAAGAUGGACCCG
rnacentral:rRNA from 1 species